rnacentral:rRNA from 1 species
GUGGGGAAUCUUAGACAAUGGGGGAAACCCUGAUCUAGCCAUGCCGCGUGAGCGAUGAAGGCCUUAGGGUUGUAAAGCUCUUUCAGCUGGGAAGAUAAUGACUGUACCAGCAGAAGAAGCCCCGGCUAACUCCGUGCCAGCAGCCGCGGUAAUACGGAGGGGGCUAGCGUUGUUCGGAAUUACUGGGCGUAAAGCGCACGUAGGCGGACCAGAAAGUCAGGGGUGAAAUCCCGGGGCUCAACCCCGGAACUGCCUUUGAAACUCCUGGUCUUGAGGUCGAGAGAGGUGAGUGGAAUUCCGAGUGUAGAGGUGAAAUUCGUAGAUAUUCGGAGGAACACCAGUGGCGAAGGCGGCUCACUGGCUCGAUACUGACGCUGAGGUGCGAAAGCGUGGGGAGCAAACAGGAUUAGAUACCCGAGUAGUCC